ACUGAACGCUGGCGGCAUGCCUUACACAUGCAAGUCGAACGGCAGCACGGGUGCUUGCACCUGGUGGCGAGUGGCGAACGGGUGAGUAAUACAUCGGAACGUACCUUAUCGUGGGGGAUAACGCAGCGAAAGCUGUGCUAAUACCGCAGACGCCCUGAGGGGGAAAGGGGGGGAUCGAAAGACCUCGCGCGAUUAGAGCGGCCGAUGCCUGAUUAGCUUGUUGGUGGGGUAAAAGCCCACCAAGGCGACGAUCAGUAGCUGGUCUGAGAGGACGAUCAGCCACACUGGGACUGAGACACGGCCCAGACUCCUACGGGAGGCAGCAGUGGGGAAUUUUGGACAAUGGGGGCAACCCUGAUCCAGCAAUGCCGCGUGAGUGAAGAAGGCCUUCGGGUUGUAAAGCUCUUUUGUCAGGGAAGAAACAGCAGCUCUAACACAGUCUGCGAAUGACGGUACCUGAAGAAUAAGCACCGGCUAACUACGUGCCAGCAGCCGCCGUAA
rnacentral:rRNA from 1 species